CAGCAGCCGCGGGAAUACGUAGGUGGCAAGCGUUAUCCGGAAUUAUUGGGCGUAAAGCGCGCGUAGGCGGUUUUUUAAGUCUGAUGUGAAAGCCCACGGCUCAACCGUGGAGGGUCAUUGGAAACUGGAAAACUUGAGUGCAGAAGAGGAAAGUGGAAUUCCAUGUGUAGCGGUGAAAUGCGUAGAGAUGUGGAGGAACACCAGUGGCGAAGGCGACUCUCUGGUCUGUAACUGACGCUGAGGAGCGAAAGCGUGGGGAGCGAACAGGAUUAGAUACCCCAGUAGUCCCUGUCUCUUAUAC
rnacentral:rRNA from 1 species